rnacentral:ribozyme from 1 species
AGAUGUCACAAGGUAGUCGCCACAGAAGUGCUCACAGUGCAGCCCUGUCAGAUUCCAAGGAAUCUGUGAAUUCUGCU